rnacentral:rRNA from 1 species
GACGAAGGGGGCUAGCGUUGUUCGGAAUUACUGGGCGUAAAGAGCGUGUAGGCGGUUGGGAAAGUCAGGUGUGAAAGCCUUGAGCUUAACUCAAGAAAUGCACUUGAUACUGGGCGACUAGAGGACCGGAGAGGAUAGUGGAAUUCCCAGUGUAGUGGUGAAAUACGUAGAGAUUGGGAAGAACACCAGUGGCGAAGGCGGCUAUCUGGACGGUUUCUGACGCUAAGACGCGAAAGCGUGGGGAGCAAACAGG